CAUCAUGGAAGGGGAAGAAUCCUUUGAACAAUUUUCCCCUGAAGUUAGAAUAAAAGAUCCACGCAAUAGAGAAACCGGCUCUCUUCUUCCCCCUAUUAAACUUUUCCAUGGAACUUCAGAUUUAUCAAUACCAUCAGAUGCCAGUAUAACCUUUUAGAAGCCGUUAGAGGGGUAGGGGCUGAGACAGAAGUGAUUCUAUAUGAAGGAAAAUCCCAUACCGAUCUAUUUUUACAGGAUCCGUUAAGAGGUGGAAAGGACGAUCUAUUUGAUCAUAUGGUUUCUGUGAUACAUGCGGGUGAUGAGGAAGCUCUCGCCAAGGAUGCGUUGGCACCUCC